UCACUACUUGCGUAGGCAGUCUGGCUAGAGUCCCCACCUUAACGUGCUGGUAACUAACCACAGGGGUUGCGCUCGUUGCGCCACUUAAGGCAACACCUCACGGCACGAGCUGACGACAGCCAUGCAGCACCUUCCCUGGCGCCCCGAAGGGAAGCCCCGUUUCGGGGGCGGUCACCAGAGAUUUAGCCCGGGUAAGGUUCUUCGCGUUGCAUCGAAUUAAGCCACAUGCUCCACCGCUUGUGCGGGGACUCAUGGGAGACUGCCGGUGUCAAACCGGAGGAAGGUGGGGAUGACGUAGCUAAGCCUUC
rnacentral:misc_RNA from 1 species